rnacentral:rRNA from 1 species
GAUGAACGCUGGCGGCGUGCCUAAUACAUGCAAGUCGAGCGAACAGAUGAGGAGCUUGCUCCUCUGACGUUAGCGGCGGACGGGUGAGUAACACGUGGAUAACCUACCUAUAAGACUGGGAUAACUUCGGGAAACCGGAGCUAAUACCGGAUAAUAUAUUGAACCGCAUGGUUCAAUAGUGAAAGACGGUUUUGCUGUCACUUAUAGAUGGAUCCGCGCCGCAUUAGCUAGUUGGUAAGGUAACGGCUUACCAAGGCAACGAUGCGUAGCCGACCUGAGAGGGUGAUUGGCCACAAUGGAACUGAGACACGGUCCAGACUCCUACGGGAGGCAGGAGUAGGGAAUCUUCCGCAAUGGGCGAAAGCCUGACGGAGGAACGCCGCGUGGGUGAUGAAGGUCUUCGGAUCGGAAAACUCUGUUAUUAGGGAAGAACAAAUGUGUAAGUAACUAUGCACGUCUUGACGGUACCUAAUCAGAAAGCCACGGCUAACUACGUG